AUUUCUUUCCGGUUUUUUGGUUUUCCGGUUUUCUGAUUUCCGGAUAACGGGUUCUGUACUGUAAUUGACUUUCUUAUAUUGUAAAAUUGUUUAUUUAACUAAAAAUUAUUUAUUCUAUUUUGUGUAAGUAAACACAGGAAAAUCACAAAAUCUGUUAUCCCAAUUAUGAUUUAACACCUUUUGUUAACCAUUAAAAUUAUAAUUAUUUAUGAAAAAUUUUCUUCGUUUUUAGCGUAAAAACUUUUAUUUAUUGUUAAAGAUUUGGAAAAAUAUGGAAGUCUUGAAUGCAAUUUAGCAAGUGAAGGAAGAGAGAGGUACUCCUUUAAUUCUUUAUUGAUUUUUUUUUAAUCGACUUCUGGCUUGAAGUUCUUUAUUUUUUCACAUGAUUCUAUUGACUAGGUGCUAUAUAUAUUAUUUUUUUAGUUAUAUAAUUUACUACUACACAGUAUUAGUAAAGAACCUCAUGUAAUUAUAAUUCAUUGAUUUUGAAUAUAAUGUUUAAGGAAUUAUAGAAUUUUUAAAAAUUGAAAUUCAUGUUUUAUAAUUAAAAAGGUUUAUAUAGUUAUUUCGAAAAUGUUGGAAUUUGAUAUUGUUCCGGUUUAAUACUUUGUUAAAAAUUCAUUAGUUAAUGCAUUCAGGUAGUUUUAUCUCCCAUUAAUAUAAGUUGCAAUUUUAUAUUGUUCUUGUUUAAUACUUUGUUAAACUUUAUUAGUUAGUGCAUUCAGGUAGUUUUAUCUCCCAUUAAGUAUAAGAAGAAGAUGCAAUUUGAUAUUGUUCCGGUUUAAUACUUUGUUGAAAAUUUAUUAGUUAAAAUGCAUUCAGGUAGUUUUAUCCCUCAUUAAGUAUAAGAAGGUAACUCGUGUGUUGACGAAAUAACAUUUUCCUUUACAAAAUUGUUAUAACUGAUGUUAUACUUAAUAAAUUGUUAAAUGUUUUAUUCUUUCGAAAGAUAUUUAAUGGAAAUUUUAUGAUAAAAACUUUAAAAUACUGUUGUAUAAAAAUAAUUACUUAUAAUUGUUAAAUAAUAGUUUUGAUCAUUUAAAGUGCUCAAAUUACACAAAAAAGCUAAAUAUUUCUUUCAAUUAUUCAAUUUUUUAAAAUUUUUUUUACCUUGGAUAAAUUUUAGUUAUUUUUAGUAAUUUAAUUUAAAUCAGUCUUUCUUUCUUUUUUUUAUAUUUAAUGACAUAAUUAACUGUCCAAGUAAUUUUUAUUUUGUGAUUUUUCUGGUUUUUUUCUUCUUAUUUUUAAGAAAGAAAUUGUUUACUAAUCCGGUGAUUGUAAUAUUCACUAAAGUAAAUUGGGAAAAUGCUAUUAGAAAUUGUUAGAUUGUGUACCCGGUAAUUACAUUUUGUACAUAUUUUACUUGUUGAAUAAUCAAAUAACUUUGUCUAUUUAUAUUUCUAAUUUUUGUUUUGUUAAUAUCAUAAAUUUAUGUAUCAAAAUUUUAUGUAAUCAAAUAUUUAUACAGUAUGUGCGUAAUGUUUCUAAAAUCAAACAGUUCAGUGCAAUUUUUUAUUUUUAUUGUUGCAUAAGAAUUUUCAAUCCUUCCUGUGAAUUAUUUUUUCUCCAAAUUUUGUAAAAAAAGGUAUUGCACUAAUUUGUAUUUCUAAAUUCUCUAUUUUGAUGUUCUUUGUUUGCAGUAAAGAUAAUGAUAUUGAUACUCAAUUAAUUGUAUAUUCUAAAAUCAUUAUUAGUUUAGUUUUGCAUAACCUCUAUUUUUGUUAAAAGGAGUAUUGUUCCAUAUUAAGUUACACCCAGAAUUAAUAAUUCUUAUUUAUGUUAUGCAUAACAUGUGUUAAAAAGAAUAUUAUUGCACACUAAAUUUUACUCUAAAAUUAUUCUCUUUGUUUCUAAAUUUUGUUUAUAGUGAAAGGAAUGUAGUUUCAUAGUAAAUACAGUAUUUAGUGUGGCGUAACAUGGAAAGUAAUCAACUAUUUUCAGCAUUUUAGAAUUUUCUAUGUAUUUAAUAUUUAGUAUUAUAUAUUUAAAAAGCGUACUGUACUAAAAUUUUGUAACUUGAACUUCGAAAUGUGAUGUUUUGAAUCCUUUCUAACACAGAUAGUUCAAAAUUAAAAACAAGAUUACAAUUGUAAAUUGGAUGGUAAAAAAAAAUAUGGAAAUUCUAUUAACCCCUUAACGUGUGUUUGAGAUAAUUUGAGCUGGGUUGUAUUUAUUUUCUCUAACCUGAAUAUAAUCAGGAAUUAAGAAAUUAACAAUAUGAAGGCAAAGAAAUUUUUUUUAAAAAUUGAUAUUAAUUAUUAUAAUAGGAUCGUAAGUUAUAACAUUUGCAGGGCUGCCACUCCACAGGAAAAACCUUGAAAAUACAGGGAAUUUAGAAAUCACCUAAAAUAACAUAGGAAAUGCAGGGAAAUUUGAUUUUUUCUUUACAAUCUGGGAAAAUACAGGGAAUUUUGUCUUUUAAAAAAUGGUGACCACUCAAAGCCUAAUCUACGGGAUAUUUAACCACAGUAUUUCAGCUAUACUAAACUAUUUCAUUUACUAUUGCAAUGUUUAAGUAUGUUCAGGAAAAACCUGGAAAAUGCAGGGAAUUUAAUGAUCACUCAAAAUAACAGGGAAAAUGCAGGGAAUUUUGAUUUUUUCUUUUCAAACUGGGAAAAUACAGGAAAUCUUGUUUCUUAUUUUUGUCUUUUAAAAAAUGGUGAUCAAUCAAAGCCUAAUCUACGGAAUAUUCAACCUUGGUAUUUCAGCUGUACGAAACUAUUUCUUUUACCAUAGCAUUAUUUAAGUAUGUUCAGCUGUUUUUCUAGCAAUUAAAACUAGUAAAUAUAGUUAGCCCAAUAUCGCUCACACAAGAAUGCAGUAAUUGGUGUUUCCUCUUAAUAUAAUAUGUGAUAUAUGUACAGGGAUAACACGGGGAAUUUUUUUUUCUUUCUGGAUUUGAGUGGCAACUCUGAUUUGUGUAUUAAAAAAUAAAAGCCUUUUACCAGAGAACAAAAAAAAAAACCCACAAAAAACCCCCCCACCACUAUUGCGCAAGCUGCGCUAUUUGGUGACUGAUUGCUAUUCGUUGUUGUAAUUUGGUGAAUUUAUAUCAAGGCCAUAUUGCAGAAAGAUUAUAAAAGUUGGUGUGCACGCAAGAAUAGUCUCUUAUAUGCAAUGUGGAUCAACAUUCAAAUAAGAAAUUUGAUUUAUUUUUUAUUUUUGUAAUGUUUUUUUUUGCCAAAACAAGGUUUUAAAAUGUGUUAUCUGUUUUUUUUUAUAAUAAAAAAAAAUAGUAUGCGUUAAGGGGUUAAAUACUAUACUACCUCUGAGAAAAGUAGUAUGGGCUUUGAGUCUUUAACUUUUCAAAUUUUUUCUCUAGAAGUUCAGAGCUUACAGAUAGAAUAAUGAAAGAAAUAUUUUUCUUUUUUAUCAAAUUAUUCUUAGAUAGCAAUCCAGGGAAAAUCUUAGAAUAAGUUAUUUUUGCAUUAAAAAUAUAAUUUUCUAAGCUAUUAUAGAUUAGUUACGAUCAUCAACAAAAUACUGUUAAACAAAACAUUUAUCUUUGGAGGAAAUAUACAUUCUUACUUUGUUUUUUUGUAAGUUUUCAAUAUCUCGCAAAUUUUAUAAAACAAAACAUGUUUUUGCUUUAUUUGUUUAAUUGGAAAAUUUACUACAAAGCUUUUGUAUGAAGUGGCGUUAAAAUGUUUAAACAUAAAAUAUAUAGUCAUUGGACUACUAUAAUGAUCCUUUUCAGGCAGAAGGAAAAAAUGUAAAUUUAAAGUUACUGUGUUAUAUGAACAACAAUGUUUAAUGUAAACAUAAAAUGUGAUUUAAAAAAAAAAGAAAUAAUUGCUUUAUUAUAAAUGGCUCGUGUAAUCUUGUUUUGAAUAUUACAUCAGCUAAAUUGAUUUUGAUAAAUUCCCUUUCUUAUAAAACAAAUUAUUGUGUUAUAAUUUAAUAAUUUUUUUUUUAACAUCUGAAGUAAAGUUUGAUUUUUUUUAAUAUAAAUUGUUUUUAAUUUAAUAUACAGCAGAAUAAAUAAAAUAUGCAAAUGUAUUUUUUUAAUUUUAUGGUUUUAGGUAAAAUAACUUUGAGGUAAAAUAUUUCUCAAAAACCAGCUUAUCUAAAACUGUUUAGAUUGAUUUAACACUUUUUAACUUCUAUAAAUAGUAGAAUGAUUUCGAUUCCAAAAUACACUGUAUUAGAAUUGAUUUGCUGUGUGCUACAUUAAAAAUUUUUGAUUUACUUGACGAAAAUUAAUUUAUUAUGUUCUCAAAUCUAGAAUUUUAAGAAAAGGAUCAAUAUAGCAUACAUUGACUGCUUGCAAGCUUCAUUACAAAUUAUUACAUUUAAAUAUUUACUGACAAUUUAGACUUAUUUAAGCAAUGUAUUUGUUUAAUUGAUGAUAUCUAAUAAAUAUUACAACUACUUCAAAACUAAUAAAAUGCAUUGCUACGGUUAUGAAAUUCUUACUAGAUUAUGAUUAAAUUAUGAAAAUAGUUUUUAUUCCUACUUUUCUUUGUUUUAAUAUUAGUACUUUAAAUAGCCUGUUCUUUUAAUUGAUUAUCUUAUAAAUGAAAUACUGAUCAAAUUCUAUAAAGGAAUUAUUUUUGUGAACAAUGUAUUUAGUAUUGAAUACAUUAAUUUUCAAUAGUCAGAAAUACUUAAUCGAAUCGAUCUGCAAUUGUUUAACACUUGGAAUAUCUUAAAUUGACUUAUUUCCUUAUUUAAUUUAUAUUAGUUUUUAAUAAUCUGAGUGGAGCUCUUAUUAUAAAUUUAUUUACAAAACUAAAGUUAAAUUGUUAAAUUCUGAUCUUGUUUUGUUUGAUGUUUCUCUUAAAAUCAACUUAUCUGUUUUCAACAAAUAAUAGUAAUAAUUCCGUUAGAUUGCAAUUUUAUAUUUGUUUGACAUUUUCCAGGGCAAAGAUUCCUUUUGUAAGAAUUUUUAAUACUUAAUAAUAUUUUAUUAUUAUUAGUUUCAUUAUGGUAAACUACAUAUCUUUAUAUAUUAAAUGAUGUGGACCAUAUUUAAUGUAUUUAUAAUAAAUAAGUAAAUAUCAACUGAUGUGAUUUUGAAUAAUUCUGAAAUUUGCAAUAUAAAAUUGCUAUAUAAUAUUUGAUAGUUUGUAUUUGAAAAUGUUUGAAUGUCAGGUUAAGUUAUUCAUUAUUCUGCUUCAUAAUUUUUUUUUGCGGUACAUGAAAUUUCUUUUUUUAAUGUACCUCAAAAAAUUUAUGCUCCUAUUUAUUGUAACACGUGUAAGAAUUAUGCUUCGUUUGAUUGCCAUCACCUAUGUCUGUGUACAAAUUUUUUUAUUGGUUACACAAUAUGUACUACUUGAACGUAUCUAUUUUUUUAUAAUAUACUUUUGAAUCAAAAUUUUUUAUUAGUGCAUUCAAUAAUUCAAGGAUUUAUUUAUAAAUGAUUUCAUAACAGUUCUCUUAAAUGGAACAAAGUAUCUAAAUUCAGUUAAUAUAUUUGUUGAAAUGAAACUUUUUUUUACAGUAGUUAAAUAUUUAGAGAUUUAUUAAUAUUUUUAUUCUAUUGUUAUAAUAAACAUCAAAAUCUUCAAAAUUUGUGCAUAUAAGUCUGUACUUUAUAAUUGAAGCUAUAUAUACAAAAUGCAUUGUAAAUUGUUUUCGGAAGGAAAAUUUUUUUAUUUAAUUGUUUCGGUUAAUCUUUUUUUUUUUUUCCAGUUUAAAAUGGUGUAAGUUCCUUUAUGUAGGUAUCUUGGAAAAAUUUAUAAAUUAAUUAAAUUUGUUAUUUUAUUAAUUAUGACUCUUUUUUUAUUAAUGUUUGCUCUACAGGAAAGUUUUUAGUGAAUAUUGUUACUAUGUCUCACAAAAUCAGAAAAUAGGUUAAAAUUACCAGUAAUGGUUAAAUGAACUUAUCAAUUCCUUUUUAAGCAGCCCUUUUGUGAUUUUAAUUUUGUUUAAUUAAAUUUGCGAAUAAUCCAACCAAACACUGAAUUAAUUUUAACAAAAUCAAUCUUUUUUUUUUUUUUUUUAAAUAUAAAUUUUUUUAAACAUGUUUUUUUUGAGUAAGUUGUAUUUUUUGUGUGGAAAAAGCUGCAUAGUUUAUGUUUUAAAAAGGAUGAUAGUAACAUUUAAUUCUAGUUUUUUCUUUUUUUUUAAAGCAUUUUGCAAAUUUUGUGAGGAUUUCUUUUAUAAGUGAUAAAAUAAAGUUUAUAAGGUGUAUUAAUCAUAAGAUAAUACGCAAGUCAUUGUUGAUUUUAACUUUUUUCACAUAUAGACACAAACUUUUUAUUGUUCGCUUAAGUAUUUUUUGCAGAGAACUUCUUGUAAAAAAUUUAAUUUUUUGUUAAAAAAAAUUCUUUAAAAACCUUAAAAUAAUGCAGGCGAUAAAAUUACAUGAAACAUUAUAAAUUAGUUAAACUAGUUUAUUAUUUUUGCACAUCUUUUUUUUCUUCUUAGUGACACACUAAACAUGUUGUUCAUUGUUAAAUCUUUCAUAAUUAACACACUUUAGUGUGCAAUCUAUUUUGUUUUACAUGACGAUACACAGUUUGGGUCUUUAGCGCUACAUUUUACAUUUAUAUGUAGUUUUUAAAUUGCAUCACACUGCACAAUCACAGUUUAGGUAGUUUUUCUUUUUUUGUUGUGUGUUUUAUAAGAUUUGAAUACCGGUUCUUUUUAUCUCCCAAGUUUGUACAGAAUUUUAUUUUAUAGAUUUCUUUGUUGGUGUAUAUCUUAGUUCUAUCUUGUAUGUUUGAAAUAACUAUAUUUUAAAAAAUCUUAAAUAUAUAUAUAUAAUUUUUGUUUCUAUGCUUGUCUGUAUUGUAGCUGUCGCAUGCUAAGAGAAUUAGAAUUCAUUUUUAAGUUUGUAAGAAAUCAUACUAAUUAAGUAAUGUUAUGUGAUUUAAGUAAAUGUGUUUUUUCCCCCCUUACCUAAUUGACUCGAAUUGUAAUGAAGUUUGUUGAAUAAAAAACUUAGUGGAAAAACAUGUUAAGUUACAUUUUGAUGGCACUCAUUUUUCAAUAGGAACAAAUUUACUUUUUGAAAAGACUAAUUUUACAGGCAUAAGAAACAUGUUGAGCUACUUCUUGGAAACAAUAAUUUUCCAAGCAUAAAACUAGGAAUUUCAUUAACUACACAAUUUAAUGUUUACUACUAAACUAUGGAAAGGUUUUAAAAAUUUCGAAUCAUAUUUAUUUUCUAGUGACUGCAUAUUUUCUGUUAACUUUUUUUUCAAUUUGUAAGUGACUCUUAUAAUAAAAAUAUUUCCCCCCUGCAUUUUAGGAAUAAAUUCUUAUUUCUCUAUGCAUAAAGAGCCUUAUUUGUUAGGUAAAUAUUAUUCAUCGAUGUUAUUAUUAACAAAUAACAAAAGAUCUGUCACUAGAAAAUUAAGUAUGGAAAAAGUAUAUUAAAGUAUGGAAAGGUUUUAAAAAUUUCGAAUCAUAUUUAUUUUCUAGUGACUGCAUAUUUUCUGUUAACUUUUUUUUCAAUUUAUAAGUGACUCUUAUAAUAAAAAUAUUUCCCCCCUGCAUUUUAGGAAUAAAUUCUUAUUUCUCUAUGCAUAAACAGCCUUAUUUGUUAGGUAAAUAUUAUUCAUCGAUGUUAUUAUUAAGAAAUAACAAAAGAUCUGUUAUGUCUGACUUAAAAUAUUUAUACAAUCGAAAUGAAUUUAUUUCAAAUUCUGUGUAUUAAUAAAUUUAAUUCUUUUAUUUCAUGCUUUUAAAUUAUAUAAAAAGAUUUUUUCCUCAGUAUUAAAGGUUUUCAUCCUUGUAUAGGACACCUUUUCCUUUGGUUCAAGGCUUUAAAUAGGGUGGUUUAAAAUAGAGUAAACAGUGUUUCCAUGCAUUUUAAAAACUGAUUCUUGUAAUAAGUUUUUCCACUAAGAUCAUCUUCAAGUGUUGUUUGAUUGCCAUGUGUUCACUUAAUGCAAUGUUAUAUAACCUAGAAGCUGCCAUAAUGUGAGAAUCCUAAUAAAGCACUUCAUCUUAAAAAUUCUAAUGUGGUGAGAGAAAUAUCAUUGAUAUAUUUUCAAAGGCAAAUGUAUUCUGCCCAUACAAUCACUUUAUACAUUGAUGCAUUAAAGGUACAAAUCUUGUUGUCUUAAGUUUAUUUUUCAAAGCCCAUUAGUUAUUUUUAAUAAAUAUUUCUUCCCAUUA